rnacentral:rRNA from 1 species
CUUUGUCGAGUUGUUGAGGGAGGAGGCAGAUAGAUAGAGACAGUGAGAGGAGGCCACGUCCUCCUCUUCGCCCAUCCUCCUCCUCCGCCUCCUGACGGCGGCGCGGCCUCUAUCCUACCGCUACCGGUACCUUCCACUCCCUGAGGAGUGAGGAUCGAUCGAUGGAGAGGGGAGGGAGGGCCGGUGUACCUUCCACUGACUGAACAUACGUACACACAGACACAACCAGGAAACACGACGACGACGGAACUACUACUACGACUACACACGAGACGAGUGUCACGAGCGAGCUGAACGAACACACAAGACGCGGUGGUAAGAAAACGUCUCGGACCGUACCGGGACGUCGUUACCUCUCUCUCCGAAGAGGAUGGGGGUCAGAGGUUUCCGGGGGAGGUAACAGUCGCUCUCCAUGUCCUGACGGAUGGUGAAGGUCGGAGGGUCCUUGACCUACUUGCUAGGUACACCUGGUUACAUGAUGUUACCGCAGAUGGUACUUAAGAUGGUCAUAUUGGGGCUACCGCGGAAACUGGGGUUACUGAGGGAGUACUUGUACCAAACCCCGGUAAGCCAAAGUUGUCUGGAGUAGUUGACCCAGCCAGAACUUGGCCGUUAGUUUGGCCUAUAGGGUUCACUGUAUACGCCAACAACCUGGCCGAGUCGGUGUUAAGAUAAACCACAAGUUGGCCAGUAGUAUAUGUGACCAGAGUAGCUGUCCUUCCGCUUAGUCCAGGUUUUGUAACGCGAAGGGUUUUUGGCAAGACUAGGCAUGGACUCCCUUACCCGGUUUCAUCCGUCAUUGGGUCACUAGGUUGUACAGUAUGGUCCGAACUUGAGCUCGGUAAAGUCCCUAGGCUGUUGGCCAACCUAACCUGGCCUACCUGAUACCUCUUAUCGUCAACCACGACUCCACUUGCCGUAGCCAUGACGUGAAGACAUGUUCUCACUUCUGAAAUACUCAACCUGAUCUUAACUUGCGGGCGACAUAAGUUUGUUACGGGAGUUAUACACCCUCACGGACCUAAAGAAGCGGCAUCACGGCCCUUCAUUGUUACCUGACCUGUACAGAAGUCUUUAAGGUUCACCACGGUUCGUACAGGAGUUUUGUGGCAGGUUCUACUGUUAGCCGACACCUGCUCCUAGCUAAUACCAUGAAAGAUACGAAGUUUUAGUAAGAAACUGAGGUUUGUGCCGUCCUCUCAGUAUACCCGAACCUCAUUGCUCUGUCUAUCAAUAAGUCUACUAUAACGUUUUCCGACCCGUCCUUAGGUACUGUUAAACCAAUCUACCGCUACCGUUCGUCAACUAGGUUACCGGUCAACUUCUCUAACUCAGGGAAGCUUAUUUACUUUAGUUGGUAGUUCCUGAUCUCGACUUUUUCCCUCUAGAUAAACUCUAAUUCCCUUAGCUGUGAUAGGUCCGACUGUAACUCUAUCUAAAACUCGGCUGCAGGUAGCUACUGCGGCUUGGAAAACUAGGAAGUACCGAAAAACUGGGGGCCUUCGUCACGGCCCUCCGCCUACGUAGCCAAGUACCACCGUAUCCCGGUAAACCUGAACAAUAAGAACGGAGACUGUUGUACCUCCUCGUGUGACGUCACGUAAAGUCCCAAAUGUUUAGUCUCGUUUUCAUGUAAUAGGAGUACACGAGGCUAGAAUCUUCCAGAAGGGACUCUGGUCCUGACAUGUGUGGUCGGAUACCUCCGAAGAAACUUAAACUGGAACUUUUACUUUUUUCCUAUAGGGAGUCCUGAGACUAGCUAGCCAGCCGCCACCUCUCGAAGCCGUCGCCACCGUCCUAGACGUAGUGCCGGUCUCAAAUAGGCCACCGCGAACAGCUGUUGCCGCGGUGGGUGUACAUACGGAAGUUGUUACCUUCAUGGUGCCAGCCUCACGGUGUCGAUUCCCGUACCUCGUACUUCUCUCGUGUUCACUUACACUACUUCCCACCUUCACACUAGCUACGAAUCGUGUCUUCUCGUUAAGAUCAGUCUGCACACUAACUUUCUGACCGGUGCGUGAACAACUAAAGUUAUAAAUGGUGCACAUUCUUCCAUUCUCAGUUAGUUCGGUAAGUAACUACUCUAGUUGCCGAGUCUAGAUAAAAUAUGAGAAUGGAGAGUACACUUUUCUCCCCCAUUCUCCCUGGUACAAUUUUGACGAGAACUUGAAAACUUCAUCAACGUUAACCAUUCAUUCGUAUCACGAACAACGGUUGUUGCUAAAUUUAAGCAUCUCCAAACCUUAUUUGUUUAUACUCGAACACGUACGGUGUUUCAAGUUCAUUCUUACAUACAUACAUACAUACGUUGUCAUGACAUCUUUGGUCGUCGAACAGCGGUUGCUAGAAAGAACCGACAGAGUCGUUCAGCCCGGACGAAUAGAAAGAGGAGACAAACUUGUAAUUGUCCGUGUAGUGUCAAUCGUACUGCUAGCUCGUAUCAUGGACAUUGACUCAUGGAGUUUUCAAUUUCGUUAUAAUCGUUGCAAUUUAAGAGGUAUUAUAGGUACCUAAUCCACGUAGAGAGAUGUAUAGAUGUCUUAAACCCUAUAAAAGACUUC